rnacentral:rRNA from 1 species
UACGUAGGGUGCAAACGUUGCUCGGAAUUAUUGGGCGUAAAGCGCACGUAGGCGGCAUUGCAAGUCGGAUGUGAAAUCCCUCGGCUUAACCAAGGAAGUGCAUCCGAAACUGCAGUGCUUGAGUACGAAAGAGGAUCGCGGAAUUCCCGGUGUAGAGGUGAAAUUCGUAGAUAUCGGGAGGAACACCAGUGGCGAAGGCGGCGAUCUGGGUCGAUACUGACGCUGAGGUGCGAAAGCGUGGGGAGCAAACAGG